rnacentral:RNase_P_RNA from 1 species
CCAGAGGGCCGGGCGGCCGCGGGCGGCGUGAGCCGCGCGAGGAAAGUCCGGGCUCCAUGGAACGACGGUGCCGGGUAACGCCCGGCGGGGGUGACCCCAGGGACAGUGCCACAGAAAGCAAUCCGCCGGCCUUCGGGCCGGUCAGGUCGAAAGGGUGGGGUAAGAGCCCACCGCGCGCCCGGCAACGGGAGCGGCAUGGUAAACCCCACCGGGAGCAAGACCGAAUAGGGGCGGCACAUGGGCUUCGUUCCAGCCCGUCGCCCGGGUUGGUUGCUUGAGCGGCGGAGCGAUCCGUCGCCUAGAGGAAUGGUCGCACAGGCGGUUUCGGCCGCCGGACAGAACCCGGCUUACAGGCCCUCUGGCUCU